UCAUAGAAGCGCCACUAAAUUUUCGUGAAAUUCUAAAAUUUCAGUUCCCCCCAAAAAACUUCAAACACCAAAUUGUUAAAAACCCACUCCUUCCCACUCUCUCACUGGAACAUAACCUAUUUUCCCUUAGAGUCCUUCCCCUAUCUGAUUCAUCUCUCAUCUCUCGUUCUCAACCUCCAUAUUCUACAUCUCCCUUGGGACUCUGUCAAAUUCACGUUACCCAAUUCAAAUUUAUGAUGCCCAGUUGAUGAUUCUCGAGCGUUGAUAAAGCUCUUUUGGUUGGAUCUGUUUCAGGAGUGAAUUGAAAAGUGAUGGAUUAGCUUAAUUAUAAGAGAUUUCUGUGAUGAACCUGUUGUCUUUUGAUGAUGAUGCACGCAGCAGCUGCAGUUUGCUAGAGGACCAGAUUUCUAUAUUAAAAUGAUAUGAUUUAUAGUUUCAUGGUUAUUGUUCUGGUAGUUUUUUGACGUUCGCAUGUCCCUAGUUCUAAAAUAAGCUGCUCUAAAUCUAUAUGUUUAUUCAGACAAUGCUCUUUGCUACUUGUGUUGUAUAUUUUGUAGCUCCAUUAGAAAAAAUUUGCUCCUGUAUAAACUACUAGCUUAGAUUGUUUCGACAAAUUUUGCUCCUGUAUAACCUACUAGCUCAAUUAGUAGAGCAUUGUGCAUUUGCACAAAGGUUGUAGGUUCAAAUCCUACGUAGGUUGUUGUUUGAUUUGUCUAAUGACUAAG